AUGGUAUACUUGAAAAUCCAACCUUACAAGAUGAAAAGAUUGAAGCUAUACAAGCUCAAGUUGCCUGAAGACACAAGAGUACAUCAUGUGUUCCAUGCUUCCUUAUCAAAAAAAGUUGUGGUACCUACUGCUACACCACAACCAUUUCCAGUUAGCAUCAACAAAGAGUGGCAUUUAAAACCUACACUUGAGAGGGGGAUGGAUUAUAAGAGGAAUGAACAGGGAGAAUGGGAAGUUUUGGUGAAAUGGAAGGAUCUGUCAUAA